rnacentral:rRNA from 1 species
GGGUCUGCGUCUCAUUAGCUANCCUUUUAGGGUAAUGGCCUACCAAGGCAACGAUGAGUAGCUGGUCUGAGAGGAUGAUCAGCCACACUGGAACUGAAACACGGUCCAGACUCCUACGGGAGGCAGCAGUGGGGAAUAUUGCGCAAUGGGCGAAAGCCUGACGCAGCAACGCCGUGUGAGGGAUGAAGGCUUUCGGGUCGUAAACCUCUGUCAGAAGGGAAGAACGGGCAUUGGUCUAAUAGGCCUUUGUUUUGACGGUACCUUCAGAGGAAGCACCGGCUAACUCCGUGCCAGCAGCCGCGGUAAUACGGAGGGUGCAAGCGUUAUUCGGAAUUACUGGGCGUAAAGCGCACGUAGGCGGCCUUGUAAGUCAGGGGUGAAAUCCCACGGCUCAACCGUGGAACUGCCUUUGAAACUGCAGGGCUUGAAUCCUGGAGAGGGUGGCGGAAUUCCUGGUGUAGGAGUGAAAUCCGUAGAUAUCAGGAGGAACACCGGUGGCG